UACGUAGGGUGCAAGCGUUGUCCGGAAUUAUUGGGCGUAAAGAGCUCGUAGGCGGCUUGUUGCGUCGACUGUGAAAACCCGCGGCUUAACUGCGGGCUUGCAGUUGAUACGGGCAGGCUAGAGUUCGGUAGGGGAGACUGGAAUUCCCGGUGUAGCGGUGAAAUGCGCAGAUAUCGGGAGGAACACCGGUGGCGAAGACGGUUCUCUGGGCCUUACCUGACGCUGAGGAGCGAAAGCGUGGGGAGCGAACAGG
rnacentral:rRNA from 1 species